CAUCUGUGGUUGGUCCUCCUCAGCAGUUGGCCAGGGUGGAUUGACCACCAUUCCUGACUGUGGCUCUGGUAGUGGCAUAGGCUUCUCCGGCUUUCUCUUGACAAACCUGUUGGCAAACAUUGAAGGGAGAAAUUAAGUCGUUUAACAUCUGUUGUUGGGUUACAAGGAGGAAGUCCUGAAGCUCCCAGGAAGAACCGGUCCCUGGCGUCUUCCUCCACUGGUUAAGAAUUUAAAUAUUCUGGCCUGAUGUGCUUGAAGUAGCACUCCAACCACUACAGCAGAUUUGUACAUAUUUUACAAGUGUUAGCUGUGACAAAGAUCGAUAAUGAACUAAUAGUUUGCUGUGUGUGUGUGUGUGUGUGUGUGUGUGUGUGUGUAGAGGAUCAUCUUACAUGUUCUUCUUUUCUGUUCAACUUUAUAAUUCCUUUGGAUAGCUUUACACGACUACAUCUCCAUUUGUCACCCUGUCGUUCCAUUGCUGGACCUGUGCAAACAUUCAGACAAGAAUGACAAGGACCCAGGUGAUGGACCCACAUCAUUGUGGUGAGACAGAAGCUCCGGAAGUCUGUCUUGGUCUUCGGAGGGACCCCUUUAUCUUGGCAGAGACGGUUGGACACCUCACCCAUUUCCUCCUCUGUGAGAGCCAGAAUUUCAGACUCCAGGAUGGCAGCGCUAGGAAACGAAGGGACCAUUACUAGGACAAACACACCCUUGUAUAGUCUAUUACGACCAUCAGAAGUGACAGUGACACUUUAAUUAUUUAUAUAGUAAUUGCAUGUACUAAAUCAAUAUUACUCAGUACUUCAAAGUACAAUUACACUGUGGAAAUGACAAUAAAAUGUAACCGAAAUGACUCUCAAUGCCUAGUUACCUCUCCAUGCACAGACCACCCUACCUGUCAUGCUCUUCUUUGAUGAGGAAUCCCUUUGCCUGAAAGUACUCUGCCAAGGAGUCACAAGAUGGGUCUUCCCUGACCAACUUCCUGACCUCAGAAAAAAUAAUAAUCCUCCCCUCUCUUGUCCACUUCUCUUGUGACUCCUUGGCCCUCGAAAUUUCUUCCUGGAUCCAUCCAUCCUCCGCCCCCAGUAAGCACAUAUUUUUUAGAUGUUGUUCAAUUUUGGUCUGGGGCUUAUGACAAAUCAAGCAGUAAACC
rnacentral:lncRNA from 1 species